GGGUGGAUGAUGACACCUUUAUUACCUUGAAAAGAGAUGACGACAUAUAAAUCAUGCUCAAUAGGAUUAUGCUGAGGCCC